UACGUAGGGGGCUAGCGUUGCUCGGAAUGACUGGGCGUAAAGGGCGCGUAGGCGGCGGACACAGUCAGAUGUGAAAUUCCCGGGCUCAACCUGGGGGCUGCAUUUGAUACGUGCUUGCUUGAGUGGGGAAGAGGGUCGUGGAAUUCCCAGUGUAGAGGUGAAAUUCGUAGAUAUUGGGAAGAACACCGGUGGCGAAGGCGGCGAGCUGGUCCUUGACUGACGCUGAGGCGCGAAAGCGUGGGGAGCAAACAGG
rnacentral:rRNA from 1 species